AAAUUUAGCUCAGUAACUGCUCAGUUAAGCUAAGGACUUUAUCUUAUCAUAAGUAUUUCAUCUUGAGAAGUUGAAAUUGAGAAAAUGAAGAUCCACAGUGUGUUCCUGGUUUUUGCUCUUGUGACUCUGAUCAAUGCAACACCAGUACCAAACAGUGCUGCACAAAACCAAGCUCCUUCUACAGCUGCUGUAGAAGAUGAAGCUGCUCAGAAGUUCUUUGGUUUACUGGUAAAUGCUUUAUCACACCUGUUUGGAGAUCAAGCUGAUGAGAAGCCUGCUGAAAAUCCAAAAAUGUGCUGGUGGAGACCCUUGUUCUGGCAUGGUAAAGGGAAGCCUGCAAAGGUU
ensembl:lncRNA uncharacterized LOC114480695